rnacentral:rRNA from 1 species
UUGCCAUAGUACUCUUGAGCGUGGAAUGCUUACACUUUCGUCUUAUACAUUAAAUAUAUAUAUCUAAUGUACUGACAUUCAAUCAUUGUCUGCUUGGACUAUUAGGGUAUCUAAUCCUGUUUGCUACCCAAGCCUUCGUCUCUCAACGUCAGUUAUUACAUAGAAGGACGCCUUCGCCGUUGACAGUCCUCCUGGUAUCAUCAAAUUUUAUCUCUACUCCAGAAAUUCUUCCUUCUCUCAUAUAACUCUAGUAAAAAAGUACUCGUUUAGAGUUUAAUUUACCGUCUACUUACCCUUUAAACCCAAUNAANUAACUAANACUACCU